GUGGGUUGCAGCUGGCCUUUCUUUUUGGGCAUGUGCUCACCUUCAUCAUCUUUAUUUUUCCACCUGUGCACCUUCUGUAGACUUGAAAGAAAAAGGGAUUUAUGUGGUCCSGUAAUGGCCCUGUAUAUUUCUKGUGUAUUUYUGGUCAAGGUUUUUMCAUACCCCAAAAAKGUACCAGAAUGUUAAUCUAUGGGCYUUUGGGCCUAUAACCAAAAAAAAUUAUACAACUUUCAGCAACGGAUCUCUUGGCUCUCGCAUCGAUGAAGAACGCAGCGAAAUGCGAUAAGUAAUGUGAAUUGCAGAAUUCAGUGAAUCAUCGAAUCUUUGAACGCACCUUGCGCUCCUUGGUAUUCCGAGGAGCAUGCCUGUUUGAGUGUCAUUAAAUUCUCAAAAAACCUUUGGUAGUAAUAUCAAUGGCCUUUUGGAUGUGAGGGCUUGUUGGCGCAAGUCAACUCCCUUGAAAUGCAUUAGCUUGGUUGACUAUGACUUUGUCUAUUGGUGUGAUAAUUAUCUACGCCAUUGGAUUGUCUGCUUGUCAAACUGCUUCUAAUUGUCCCUUUGGGGGGACUUUAUUAAAUGACCAUUGACCUCAAAUCAGGUAGAC
rnacentral:rRNA from 1 species